ACUUUCUCGUCCAAAGAAUAUAUAUUAAAUGCCAAACACCUCAUAAAAACUAAACCAAGUCCUGUCUUCCAACAAGCUAGCUCUCUGGUGUUGUAUUUUUGGUCUGCAUUUCAGAGAUGAAUGAUCCCAAAUAUGGCUAUCCAUAUCCUGCCCAGGGUGUUUAUCAAGGACCUCCAGUAAUGGCACCUCCUCAGUACUAUGCUGCUCCACCGCCUAAGCGAGAACCUAGUUUCCUUGAGGGAUGCCUUGCAGCUUUAUGUUGCUGUUGCCUCUUAGAUGAGUGUUGCUGUGACCCCACCAUUAUAUGUGCCUAAUUAUUCUUUAUAAUUAGCUACACUACACAGAAAAUGACGAGUUAUUUGUAAUAUAUUUUGUAUGUAAAGAAGUUUCAACAUAUAAUACAUAUGUGUGCAAUGCAUUCUGGUAUGGUAA